UUAGCCGAUGACUUUUUCAUCGCUGGAAUAUCGCUGAACGACCUCGCUGAAUAAGAAAGGCUGCCUUCCCUUCGCUACGUAAGUAAUCAUUUCUUUUUUUACAGAUCGGUGUUUUCACUCGCAUUGAUAUUUCAUUGUUCCGCUUUGAGACACGCGGUUAACAAUACUCACGGGCAAAGAGUUAAGAUAUAACUUAUUAACUUUUACUAUUUUUAUCAUCCAAUUACAGGUCGGAGCCAUUACUGUAUUUAGUCGCUUGUUUCCAGUGGUACCAUUUGCGAUUUUCCAACAGUCAAACGACCUGAUUGAACCAGACAUGAACAUUAUAACAUGCUUUACAUGUGAAGAAUACAUUUUUGAGUGUAAAUCAAGGAGAUUUUGGAAAAUUUUAUUUGGCUGUUUCCUUCACCCUCGUCGAUCUUAAGUUUCUUGUUCAGUAGAGUUUUAGCUUUACACUCAAGCCGCUAAGACCUUCGCUUGCAAAGAAUAUCCUCUUGUUCCUUGGUUGUGUACCUUCCACUGCUUAUUUGAUGGCACAGCACACAAGCUAGGAGCAUCAAAUGACUCUUUAAGGGGAAUCAGUUGAAACUAAAGCAGGCAUUAUCAAGCAAUGAGUAAAGGGUCUCUGAUGGGUGUGCAAAUAAAGAAGCGCUUCACCAGUACCAAAUACACAGGUGGUGAUUCCUCUCCCAAAUCGUCCCACUUCAAAAGUUGAAAAAUGUGGCGAUCUUUUGCUUGAGAGAAUUUUGGGAACUGCGAAUAUGUUAAAUUACCGUGUAUAAUACAGUCAGCACAGGAAAUCAUACCU